AAGUCGUAACAAGGUUUCCGUAGGUGAACCUGCGGAAGGAUCAUUAAUGAUUUUUAAAGCGGGUCGAGCGUUUAAGCGAGGCUUUGCGAAAAUAUUUAAAACCCCACUCUUUUUAACUAAAAAAAAUAAAUCAUGAUACAUGAAUUUAAAAAAAAGAUCACUUUCAACAACGGAUCUCUUGGCUCUC
rnacentral:misc_RNA from 1 species